rnacentral:lncRNA from 1 species
UUUGGGGGGUUAAUUUUUUAAUCUCCAAUCCAUGGUGCAGCCUUUAUGUAGAUGCAGGAGCCAGGGACCUGCUCUGCAGAGUACAGACACACGCAAUUUUUUCCAUUGUCUUGCAGUUUGUAUAGUUAUUUUCUAAAAUCAUGCAAAAAAUAAGUAUUUAAUGAGAGGAUUUAUUGGGGAAAGAAGACCUGAAGUCUUCUUACCUUUAGCACCAUCCAUCCUUUGGUUGCAAUGUAGCUGCCCCCAACCCAUGCGCACAUCGUCUUUCAGCAAUGUGAGUGAGGAUCUGUCCAGGGUAUAUAGUAGUGAGGGCUCAGCAGAGUCAAGGCUGUACGUCCCUGUUAGAAAUCUAUAAGGGGUUAUUAGCUGGGUGUUACAUACAGCAGUAAAUCCAGCACCCUACUGCAGAAUCACACUGUGAUAGGGAUAGGUUUCAGGGUACGCUUAAUACAAACUACAACGCUUCUGCCUGUGCAUGGAUGUAAACUGGACACCGUGUUAGUUGACAGCACAAGUGCUUGUUCAUAGUGCCUUCAGAAAUAAUACGCUGCUUUUAUACUUUUUGCAGGGGUACUCCUCAGCUGCACUGUCCUGACGUUGAAGGGGAAAUGCUAUCUGAAAAUAGAAGAAAACUCUAUUUUCCUGCCUGGGGUGAGGUAGUGUGUUGCGACUCCAAGCCUCAAACCUUGCUUGCGGAGGCACAGCGAGAAAUACUCUCAUGGAGCAUCAUCAUGGGAUGGUUUAUAGUGCCAAAGUCCUACUACUGCAUUAAAAAGCAAAGAAAGAAAGAAAGAGAAAAGGGUCCUUGUACAUAAGUUUCUCCUUUGCUUUUCUCCCACCCACUUUCCUGCCUAGCCUCUUCCUCUACUGGAACAGAUUUGUACAAUGUGGAGAUUUUGUUAACUUUUUAAUAGGUGCAAGUUAUUCUUGCAUAUAAUGCCACUGCAAAAUUUGGGGUUGGGUUGGGGGAGGGAGGUAUCUUUUGGGGGGGAGAGGAGAUUUUUUUUUUUCCUGAUGUGUUUUAAGACAGAUUUGCAAUUUUUUGGAGUCCUGUUGGUGCGGAUCAACAUCUGAGCCCAGAUCCCCAGCCCAGUUUACAUUUCAGCCCACUUAAACGCAUUACAGGGUUGGGGAGGGUCCUUCUGGAGUGGUUGGGAUUUGGUUUUGUUCUUGUUGUUUUGACUUGUUUUGUUUUAUGGCCACCAGCUACUGGUUAAGUAUUUCAAUCUCUUGCUUUUCCAUGCUCCUACAAGGCGAGUCUUCUCUCGCUCCCAUAUUUCACUCUUCACAAGCCAGCCCCAGCUGUGGGUCUCUGAAGAUUUGGCUAGAAUGCCUUUUUUGUUUGGGUUAUUUUUUAGCACUUUUUGUUUAAAAACGCAGCACAACCCCCAGAGGGGAGGAAAUCAAGAUGCUUCAUAAUCUGAACUCUGUUUGUGUUUCUUUGGCUGGUACAAUGAUGGACGCCAUAGCCAGCAGCCUGCCCUCCAGCUUUAGAUGUUGUAGCGCACAAAGACAUUUUUGAUUAACCCUUGCCACUAAAUUUUUAGGUCAAUCCUAGGUUCCUGAGUGCACUUUUCUUACAAAUACUGCUACUUUGGGUUUGUGUGGAGGUGUCUGUCCGUGCACGUGUGAGGAGGAGGAGGAGGGAGAUGGGGAUUGUGGGUGCAUAGGCGAGCGGGUGCAAUUGCUGUCUGGUGCGUUCCUCUGACGAGCUGGGUUCAGAAACCUUGGCCACCUUUCAGUACGCUGCACAAAUAGGAUGCUAGGGAGUUUGAAUAAAUCCAACUUUUCUAACUUGUUGCUCAUUUGUUGUAACUCAAUAAAACAAA